rnacentral:rRNA from 1 species
UACAGGGGGUGCAAACGUUGCUCGGAAUCAUUGGGCGUAAAGCGCACGUAGGCGGUUCGUUAUGUCGGAUGUGAAAGCCCUUGGCUUAACCGAGGAAGUGCAUCCGAAACUGGCGAGCUAGAGUACGAAAGAGGAUCGCGGAAUUCCCGGUGUAGAGGUGAAAUUCGUAGAUAUCGGGAGGAACACCGGUGGCGAAGGCGGCGAUCUGGGUCGAUACUGACGCUGAGGUGCGAAAGCGUGGGGAUCAAACAGG